GGAUGCAAGGGUGAUCUUGCUGUGACAUCUGCCACCAAAUUGAUUGCCAGGAUUGAUUUGGCUGAUCUGGCUGUCUAGGUGGCUGUCCUAUUCCUCCCUACCACUCCAUGUAUGUCCCUCCUGAAGUUGCAUGCUCAGUGGAAGAGGACAACCUUCUCCAAAUAGAGGACGAUGGGUCUUUGGUCAAGGAUAUACCAGUAGCUGUACUCUACUGCUAGAACCUCCAAAGAAGUUCUCAAAUAGUCACUGAGAAGUCAUAAGUUCAAUAUCUACUUUAUAUCUGGAAGACAGAAUUUCAAAGUGUUCUUUUCC
rnacentral:snRNA from 1 species